UCUACAACCUAAAAUAGAUGGAGAAAACUUUCGAGGCAUCUGAGUGUCGUGAUGAAGAGGAAGAUGAUGAUGUGAUUGAAAAGUCUAAUAAUAAGGAUAACUCACAUUCAUCGAAUUAAUGAUUUACCAGAAAUCCAUCUUAGAGCUUCGAACCCUGCUUUCCUAUCUUUGCUUCAUGGGACUCGGGGCAAGCUCAUCUAGAAUAAGAUUCAGAGUGUCAUCAUUCCCAGAGCAGGGAUCAUUCCUCCAUGUUUUCUUGGCACAGUGAUCCUACAUUCACAUUUUUGGAGCUUCGUGCAGUGGAGAUGUGACAAGAGUAGUGUCAAUACCUAGAUAGAUCCGUCCAAUUUAAAAACUCAUCAAGACAGUGAAUAACUAGCGAUACGUAUAUUAAUUUUUUAUCAAAAUAAAUUGUAUACAUAUAUCCAAAUGACAUAUUCUAAUUUAUCUUUUA